AUGGGCGAAAGCCUGAUCCAGCCAUGCCGCGUGAGUGAAGAAGGCCUUAGGGUCGUAAAGCUCUUUCGCCUGUGAUGAUAAUGACAGUAGCAGGUAAAGAAACCCCGGCUAACUCCGUGCCAGCAGCCGCGGUAAUACGGAGGGGGUUAGCGUUGUUCGGAAUUACUGGGCGUAAAGCGCGCGUAGGCGGAUUGGAAAGUUGGGGGUGAAAUCCCGAGGCUCAACCUCGGAACUGCCUUUAAAACUCCCAGUCUAGAGUUCGAGAGAGGUGAGUGGAAUUCCAAGUGUAGAGGUGAAAUUCGUAUAUAUUUGGAGGAACACCAGUGGCGAAGGCGGCUCACUGGCUCGAUACUGACGCUGAGGUGCGAAAGUGUGGGGAGCAAACAGGAUUAGAUACCCUGGUAGUCCACACC
rnacentral:rRNA from 1 species